GACAUAGGUGGCAAACGUUAUCCGGAAUUAUUGGGCGUAAAGGAUGCGUAGAUGGUGUGAUAAGUUAUCAGUGGAAAAUCGGGGCUCAACCUCGUGGAAGCUGGUAAUACUGUUAUACUUGAGUUCAGGAGAGGUUAACGGAACUCCAUGUGGAGCGGUAAAAUGCGUAGAUAUAUGGAAGAACACCGAUAAGGCGAAGGCAGUUAACUAUUCUGUUACUGACAUUGAGGCAUGAAAGCGUGGGGAGCAAAACGG
rnacentral:rRNA from 1 species